GACGGAGGAUGCAAGUGUUAUCCGGAAUCACUGGGCGUAAAGGGUGCGUAGGCGGGUCUUUUAAGUCAGGGGUGAAAUCCUGGAGCUCAACUCCAGAACUGCCUUUGAUACUGAGGAUCUUGAGUUCGGGAGAGGUGAGUGGAACUGCGAGUGUAGAGGUGAAAUUCGUAGAUAUUCGCAAGAACACCAGUGGCGAAGGCGGCUCACUGGCCCGAUACUGACGCUGAGGCACGAAAAGCGUGGGGGAGCAAACAGG
rnacentral:rRNA from 1 species